AUUUAAGUAGUUUUAUUAAAACAUUGAUUUGUGGGAUCAAAGAUAUGAAAAUUCAUUUUAAAUA
rnacentral:tRNA from 1 species